UUACGGCCAAAUCAUGUUGAAAUACCAAUUCUCGUAUGAUCACCAAAGUUAAACAACGUCGAGCCUGGUUCAUACCUGGAUGAGUGACCGCUUGGAAAUACCAGGUGCUGUAAU